rnacentral:tRNA from 1 species
GCCUGGCUGGCUCAGUUGGCAGAGCAUGCAACUCUUGAUCUUGGGGUUGUGGGUUUGAGCCCCACGUUAGGUG